UAAUACCCAAUCCUGACACAGGGAGGUAGUGACAAGAAAUAACAAUACGGGGCUUGAAGUCUUGUAAUUGGAAUGAUGGGAAUUUAAACCCCUUCCAGAGUAUCAAUUGGAGGGCAAGUCUGGUGCCAGCAGCCGCGGUAAUUCCAGCUCCAAUAGCGUAUAUUAAACUUGUUGCAGUUAAAAAGCUCGUAGUUGAAUUUCUGCUGUUUCGUUGACUGCGUUUGGCGUUUGUCAUCGUUGCGGCUUGGUUGGGUUUCGAUUAUUCGUUUCCCGGCGUUUACUUUGAGAAAAUUAGAGUGCUUGAAGCAGGCUUUUGCCUUGAAUACUUUAGCAUGGAAUAACGGAGUAGGACUUUGGUUCUAUUUUGUUGGUUUUAGGAGCCAGAGUAAUGGUUAAUAGGAACAGUUGGGGGCAUUCGUAUUUAAA
rnacentral:rRNA from 1 species